GACGAACGCUGGCGGCGUGCUUAACACAUGCAAGUCGAACGGUAAGGCCCUUCGGGGUACACGAGUGGCGAACGGGUGAGUAACACGUGAGUAAUGUGCCCUUGACUCUGGGAUAACAGCCGGAAACGGUUGCUAAUACCGUAUAUACACAUGUGCCUGCAUGGGUGUGUGUGGAAAGCUUGUGCGGUCUUGGGUCAACUCGCGGCCUAUCAGCUUGUUGGUGGGGUAAUGGCCUACCAGGGCCUCGACGGGUAGCCGGCCUGAGAGGGCGACCGGCCACACUGGGACUGAGAUACGGCCCAGAAUCCUACGGGAGGCAGCAGUGGGGAAUAUUGCACAAUGGGCGGAAGCCUGAUGCAGCAACGCCGCGUGCGGGAUGACGGCCUUCGGGUUGUAAACCGCUUUCAGUAGGGACGAAGCGCAAGUGACGGUACCUACAGAAGAAGCACCGGCCAACUACGUG
rnacentral:rRNA from 1 species